rnacentral:rRNA from 59 species
AUAACGACUCUCGGCAACGGAUAUCUCGGCUCU